rnacentral:rRNA from 1 species
CCUGAUGUGGGGGAUAACCAUUGGAAACGAUGGCUAAUACCGCAUAAUACCUACGGGUCAAAGAGGGGGACCUUCGGGCCUCUCGCGUCAGGAUAUGCCUAGGUGGGAUUAGCUAGUUGGUGAGGUAAUGGCUCACCAAGGCGACGAUCCCUAGCUGGUCUGAGAGGAUGAUCAGCCACACUGGAACUGAGACACGGUCCAGACUCCUACGGGAGGCAGCAGUGGGGAAUAUUGCACAAUGGGCGCAAGCCUGAUGCAGCCAUGCCGCGUGUGUGAAGAAGGCCUUCGGGUUGUAAAGCACUUUCAGUCGUGAGGAAGGUAGUGUAGUUAAUAGCUGCAUUAUUUGACGUUAGCGACAGAAGAAGCACCGGCUAACUCCGUGCCAGCAGCCGCGGUAAUACGGAGGGUGCGAGCGUUAAUCGGAAUUACUGGGCGUAAAGCGCAUGCAGGUGGUUUGUUAAGUCAGAUGUGAAAGCCCGGGGCUCAACCUCGGAAUAGCAUUUGAAACUGGCAGACUAGAGUACUGUAGAGGGGGGUAGAAUUUCAGGUGUAGCGGUGAAAUGCGUAGAGAUCUGAAGGAAUACCGGUGGCGAAGGCGGCCCCCUGGACAGAUACUGACACUCAGAUGCGAAAGCGUGGGGAGCAAACA